AGAAGUGGAUGCAGAGGCUGGGCAUAAGGCGGCAUUUCCCAGAGGAAGCAGUGGUUCCAUGCCAGCCUCUGCUGCAGGAAGAGAGGCGAUGCCAGGCACAGGCACAGGAGAUGAGGUGUCUGGGAAGGCUUCUCCAUCAGCUUGGAUGAAUAAAAUUUUGAAGCCCUUGGAGCCUCCUGCAGAUGUGUCUACAGGGAAGACUUCUCCAGCUCCUACCGUGGAUGUUACACUCAAGCCCAGCUCCCGUCACAGUGGU